rnacentral:rRNA from 1 species
AUUGAACGCUGGCGGCAUGCCUUACACAUGCAAGUCGAACGGCAGCACGGGAGCAAUCCUGGUGGCGAGUGGCGAACGGGUGAGUAAUAUAUCGGAACGUGCCCAGUCGUGGGGAUAACGUAGCGAAAGCUACGCUAAUACCGCAUACGAUCUAUGGAUGAAAGCGGGGGAUCGCAAGACCUCGCGCGAUUGGAGCGGCCGAUAUCAGAUUAGGUAGUUGGUGAGGCAAAGGACUCACCAAGCCGACGAUCUGUAGCUGGUCUGAGAGGACGACCAGCCACACUGGACUGAGACACGGCCCAGACNCCUACGGGAGGCAGCAGUGGGAA